rnacentral:rRNA from 1 species
GAUGAACGCUGGCGGCGUGCCUAAUACAUGCAAGUCGAGCGAACAGAUGAGGAGCUUGCUCCUCUGACGUUAGCGGCGGACGGGUGAGUAACACGUGGAUAACCUACCUAUAAGACUGGGAUAACUUCGGGAAACCGGAGCUAAUACCGGAUAAUAUAUUGAACCGCAUGGUUCAAUAGUGAAAGACGGUUUUGCUGUCACUUAUAGAUGGAUCCGCGCCGCAUUAGCUAGUUGGUAAGGUAACGGCUUACCAAGGCAACGAUGCGUAGCCGACCUGAGAGGGGGAUAGGCCACACUGGAACUGGGACACGGUCCAGACUCCUACGGGAGGCAGCAGUAGGGAAUCUUCCGCAAUGGGCGAAAGCUUGACGGAGCAACGCCGCGUGAGUGAUGAAGGUCUUCGGAUCGUAAAACUCUGUUAUUAGGGAAGAACAAAUGUGUAAGUAACUAUGCACGUCUUGACGGUACCUAAUCAGAAAGCCACGGCUAACUACGUG